rnacentral:rRNA from 1 species
AGAGCGAACGCUGGCGGCAGGCUUAACACAUGCAAGUCGAGCGGGCGUAGCAAUACGUCAGCGGCAGACGGGUGAGUAACGCGUGGGAACAUACCUUUUGGUUCGGAACAACCCAGGGAAACUUGGGCUAAUACCGGAUAAGCCCUUACGGGGAAAGAUUUAUCGCCGAAAGAUUGGCCCGCGUCUGAUUAGCUAGUUGGUGAGGUAACGGCUCACCAAGGCGACGAUCAGUAGCUGGUCUGAGAGGAUGAUCAGCCACAUUGGGACUGAGACACGGCCCAAACUCCUACGGGAGGCAGCAGUGGGGAAUAUUGGACAAUGGGCGCAAGCCUGAUCCAGCCAUGCCGCGUGAGUGAUGAAGGCCCUAGGGUUGUAAAGCUCUUUUGUGCGGGAAGAUAAUGACGGUACCGCAAAGAAUAAGCCCCGGCUAACUUCGUGCCAGCAGCCGC